rnacentral:rRNA from 1 species
AGCUGAUCACUGGGUUUAAAGGGUGCGCAGGCGGUUUUGUAAGACAGAGGUGAAAUCCCCGGGCUCAACCUGGGAACUGCCUUUGUGACUGCAAGGCUGGAGUGCGGCAGUGGGGGAUGGAAUUCCGCGUGUAGCAGUGAAAUGCGUAGAUAUGCGGAGGAACACCGAUGGCGAAGGCAAUCCCCUGGGCCUGCACUGACGCUCAUGCACGAAAGCGUGGGGAGCAAACA